ensembl:lncRNA
UAUAUAUGUAUGUGUGUGUGUGUGUAUAUAUAUAUGUAUGUAUGCGUGUAUAUAUAUAUAUAUAUAUAUAUGUAUAUAUAUUUAGGUCCAGGUGAAUUAAAGAAGAGGAGAGAAAGGAAGGAAAGGAAAAAGUAGGGAACGAUUAAACGGCAUAAAUAAAUAAAUAACACCCACCAGAUUUCAGCUCCCAGGCGCUCAAUAAAAUUACACUUUGAAAUGCAAGGAUUAAGCAGGCAUUGCUGGGGUUUGAGCUGGCUGUGGGUGGAAGGACCGAGCCUGGAAGGAAACCCCGUGUGAAAUCCCCAGCCUGCUUUGCAGAUGUUGGGCUGCUUCUGGGUGAGAUUUUAGCUUUUGCAGAUGUCUGAAACGCUCCCGGUGGGCUUGGUGCCUCGCUGCAGUAAACACAGGCAGGGGGAGCUGGAAGAAGUGGGGAGAGCCGUGAUGUCUUCCAGGAGCUGUCUCAGGAGAGGGACUGGACCAGCCUGAAGGCCACCAGAGCCAAAGCCCAGCAGCACAGCUUGGGACACAAGCAUCCCACACGCGGGACUAUUUUGAUGGAGCCGGAGAAGUGAUGACACAAAUAGCUGAUGACACAAAUAGUUCUGCUGGCGGAGCAGCAGAGGUGGCAACCUCUGGAUGGGAGCCAUGAGCAGCAGCUGCAGACAGGCACCUCUUCAUGGAGCUGGAACAGGAUGCACAGCCCAGGGCUCCUGUCACCAUCCCACCAGUAUCACCAGGAAAGCUGUGACCCGGAUGAGCCGUUCAGUCUCCUUCCUGCACAAUAGUUCUGCCUUCUGCCAGCUCUUGCCCUGAAAAGCUGCAGGUUCAUCUGCUCAGCCCGACUCAAACAUGCACCAUCAACAGCUGGGCACUCCUACACUCCUGCAGUGUUAGGUCAGGCCCCACACUCCUGAGGUUCCAGGAGCUAGAAUACCUUUGCUGAGCUCCUGGGUGGAAAAAAAAAAAGGGAGGAUUUACCUGAGUCCAGCCCGUCUGCAUGUGGGUCGGAACGUGUGUGUAUCCCAUUAACUCUGUCCUCGCUGCUCUCAAGAUGUCCCGCACAAAUGAUUUUAUUUUUUUUUUGUAAGAAAAUAUAUUUUACUAGGCAGUUUUAUGAGAGCUGACAAAAUGCCUCAUAAAUAACCCAGCAGGAAAUAUGGGGUAAAUAAAAUUUUUACAACUUUA